AUUGAGAGUCUGUGCGACGCAGUGGUAGCGGACGGUCGUGUUUUCGGGAGCGGUAGUGAUAAGAUAGCCUAUCGGUUUUACUUGUCUGCCAGCUAAUACUGUAGUUAGAGAAUAGCUUCGCCAAUGUACAUUGAAGAGUUCUAUUGAAGACCAAAAACUUUCAAUACCCAUUCAAUAAGAAAUCACACAUCUAAAAUCCAACUUCAAGAUUUCUGAUUAGUGAUAAUAGACAACUUAUUGGAGAGAGUGAAGGCUAUAAAAUGUUGAAGCAUCUCUACAUUUUGUCAGCGAGAAGAUGGAGAACCUAAAUGGAGCGCGUACCAUAAGAACCUUUAUGAUGAUAUAUAUCAUUUUUCGUACACAGAAAGCAGCUGUUUUCCAGUCCCCACGUAGAUCUGAAAGACAUUAAUUGCAGACAACUCUCGUCUCACGUCAGAACAGGUUCCGGCCUAGCCCGG